GGAUCGCGGUAUUCUGACCGUGCGAAGGUAGCAUCAUCAAUAGUCUUUUAAUUGGAGUCUGGAAUGAACGAUUGGACAAAAAGUAAUCUGUCUUGAGAGUAAAAAUUGAAAUUCACUUUUAAGUGAGAAGGCUUAAAUAAGUUAGAGGGACGAUAAGACCCUAUAAAACUUUAUGAAUUUUGGGCCUAUCUAGUAAUUUUAGUUUUAUAUUAAGAUAGGUUUAGGUUCGUUUUAUUGGGGCGAUAAAAAUAUAAAUAUCAAUUAACUGUUUGUACACUGGAAUAAAUAUAUUUAAAAUUGUUGAUCCUGUAUUAUAGAUUAGUAGAUAAAGUUCCUUUAGGGAUAACAGCGUUAUUCUUUCUGAGAGUUCUUAUCGACGAAGGUAGUUGCGACCUCGAUGUUGAAUUAAAAUUCCUUUUAGGU
rnacentral:rRNA from 1 species